rnacentral:sRNA from 1 species
CUUUAGCGCUCCUAACCCCACACACGCAUCGACACGAUGACCUGGGUGCUUCCCAAGGGAAGUUGGUCAUUGGGAUGCGUGGAGGCCCAAC